rnacentral:rRNA from 1 species
AUUGAACGCUGGCGGCAUGCCUUACACAUGCAAGUCGAACGGCAGCACGGGAGCAAUCCUGGUGGCGAGUGGCGAACGGGUGAGUAAUAUAUCGGAACGUGCCCAGUAGUGGGGGAUAGCCCGGCGAAAGCCGGAUUAAUACCGCAUACGACCUGAGGGUGAAAGCGGGGGAUCGCAAGACCUCGCGCUAUUGGAGCGGCCGAUAUCAGAUUAGCUAGUUGGUGGGGUAAAGGCCUACCAAGGCUACGAUCUGUAGUUGGUCUGAGAGGACGACCAGCCACACUGGGACUGAGACACGGCCCAGACUCCUACGGGAGGCAGCAGUGGGGAAUUUUGGACGAAUGGGCGCAAGCCUGAUCCAGCAAUGCCGCGUGCAGGAAGAAGGCCUCGGUU